UGUGGAGCGCUUAGAAGUGAGAAUGCCGGUGUGAGUAGCGAAAGACGGGUGAGAAUCCCGUCCACCGAUUGACUAAGGUUUCCAGAGGAAGGCUCGUCCGCUCUGGGUUAGUCGGGUCCUAAGCUGAGGCCGACAGGCGUAGGCGAUGGAUAACAGGUUGAUAUUCCUGUACCACCUAUAAUCGUUUUAAUCGAUGGGGGGACGCAGUAGGAUAGGCGAAGCGUGCGAUUGGAUUGCACGUCUAAGCAGUAAGGCUGAGUAUUAGGCAAAUCCGGUACUCGUUAAGGCUGAGCUGUGAUGGGGAGAAGACAUUGUGUCUUCG
rnacentral:rRNA from 1 species